ensembl:snRNA U2 U2 spliceosomal RNA
GUUGUUUCUCAGUCUUUUGGCUAAGAUCAAGUGUAGUAUCUGUUCCUAUCAGUUUAAUAUCUGAUAUGUCCUGUAUCCAAAGACAAUAUAUUAAAUGGAUUUGGGGAGCAGGGAGGUGGAAAAUGACCUUGCUCCGUCUGCUCCAGGUACUGAUCUGGCAUUGCAGUCCUUCCAGGAAAGGUGCACCCCCC